rnacentral:rRNA from 1 species
AAGACCUUGCGCUUUUGGAGCGGCCGAUGCCUGAUUAGCUUGUUGGUAAGGUAAAAGCUUACCAAGGCUUCGAUCAGUAGCUGGUCUGAGAGGACGACCAGCCACACUGGGACUGAGACACGGCCCAGACUCCUACGGGAGGCAGCAGUGGGGAAUUUUGGACAAUGGGGGCAACCCUGAUCCAGCCAUGCCGCGUGAGUGAAGAAGGCCUUCGGGUUGUAAAGCUCUUUCAGCCGGGAAGAAAAGGUUGCGACUAAUAAUCGCAAUCCAUGACGGUACCGAAAGAAGAAGCACCGGCUAACUACGUGCCAGCAGCCGCGGUAAUACGUAGGGUGCGAGCGUUAAUCGGAAUUACUGGGCGUAAAGGGUGCGCAGGCGGUUUUGUAAGUCAGAUGUGAAAUCCCCGGGCUUAACCUGGGAACU